CAGUAUAUAACCCGCACGGACCUAGUGGAACUGAACAAAGGGGGCAAAUGUGAGAAUAAAAGACAAGAGACAAAAGAGUAUAUUUGGAAGAAGGGGUCAGGGGGCAACUUGCCUCUAGUGGACAAGGGCCCUGAGCUUUACACAGCCCUCUGUAUUUAUUAGGCAAAAAAAGAUAGUGAGAAGGGGGAUGGAAUAAGGUGCCAGCUGCCCUGUCCAGAGUAGGCUUGCAAGACUGCAUUCUCUAGAUGUUGCAGUAGAUUACCUCAGGCACCAGGGAGUGAUUGCCUCCAACAAACCUUCUGUUGGCAGGACCAGUUGUGAGUUUGCUCACAUCCUGCAUUCGUGAUAAACAGUUUGCUGUUUGAUCAUAUAGCCUCCAGUGGAAUGCUGAGUUGGUCAUGUCCCAUGGGACUUUGGCUCCCUACACCUUAUGGCUUGGUGCUGUCCUCAUGAAAAAAUAGAAAAAUCCAUCCUGAAAUUCAUAUGGACUAUCAAGGGACCUUGAAUAAUCAAAACAACCUUGAAAAUGAACAAAGCUGGAGGUCUUACGAUUCCUGACUUCAAAACUUACUACAAAGUUAUGAUGAGCAAAAUGGUGGUACUAGAAUAAAGAAAGACAUAGGGACCAAUAGAAUAGAAUAGAAUAGAAUAGAAUAGAAUAGAAUAGAAUAGAAUAGAAUAGAAUAGAAUAGAAUAGAAUAGAGAGCCCAGAAAUAAACCCUCACAUAUAUGGUCAAAUUAUGUUUUACAAGGGUGCCAAGACCAUUCGAUAGGAAAAGGACAGUCUUUUCAAUGAAUGGUGGUGGGGAAAUUGGAUAUCCACAUACAAAAAGUAAAAUAAAAUAAAAAUUGGAUUCUUAUUUUAUACGAUGUACAAAAAUUAACUCAAAAUAGUCAAAUACCUAAAUACAAGAGCUGUAACUACAAAACUCUUAGAAGGAAGCAUGGGAAAAAGCUUUAUGACAUUGGAUUUGGCAACAGUUUCUUGGAUAGGACACCAAAAGCACAGGCAACAAAAGAAACAAAAAUAGAUUAAUUGGGCUUCAUUCAAAUUAAAAAUUAUUUUGUAUCAAAGAACACUAUCAACAGAGUAAAAAGGGCAAUCCAUGGAAAAGAAGAAAAUAUUUAUAAAUCAUAUCUGAUAAGGGAUUAGUAUACAAGAGGUAUAAAGAACACUUUCAAAUCAAAAAGAAUAACAAAAAGCAACUGGAUUAAAAAAUGAGCAAAGGACUUGCAUAGACAUUUCUCCAAAGAAGAAAAUGGCCAAUAAGCACUUGAAAGAUGCUCAAUAUCACUGAUCAUUAGGGAAAUAUAAAUCAAAACCACAAUGAAAUACCACUUCAUACCCACUAGGAUGACUAUUAUCUAAAAAGCAAAAAAUGGCCUGGGUGCAGUGGUUCAUACCUGUAAUCCCAGCACUUUGGGAGGCUGAGGCGGGUGGAUCACUUGAGGUCAGGAGUUCAAGACCAGCCUGACCAACAUGGUGAAACCUCAUCACUACUAAAAAAAAUGCAAAAAUUACCUGGGCGUGGUGGUGGGCACCUGUAAUUCCAUUUACUUGGGAGGCUGAGGGAGGAGAAUCACUUGAACAUGGGAGGCAGAGGUUGCAGUGAGCUGAGAUCACCCUGCUGCACUCCAGCCUAGGUGACAGAGUGAGACUCUGUCUCAGAAUAAAUAAACAAAUAAAUAAGAAACAGAAAAUAAAAAAUGUUGGUAAGAAUGUGGAGAAAUUGGAACCUUUGUGCAUUGCUGAUGGAAAUGUAAAAUGAUGUACACUGUGGAAAACAAUGUAGCAGUUCCAAAAAAAUUAAACAUAAAAUUACCAUAUGAUCCAUAUAAACAAUGAAUUGAAAGCAGUACUCAACCAGAUGUCUGUACACUCAGGUUCAUAGCAGCAUUUUUCACAAUAGUCAAAAGAUGGGAG
rnacentral:lncRNA from 10 species